GGGGGGGGGGGGGGGGGGGCUUAGGGGGUGGGAGGGGGGGGGGAGGGCGGUGAGGGGGUGGGGGGGUCGAGUGGCGGACGGGUGGGUAACACGGGAGUAACCGGCCCUUGACUGUGGGAUAACCUGAUGAAACUGGGGCGAAGACCGGAUAGGAGCUCCGGCUGGGUGGUGGGGCUGGGACAGUUUCGGCGGUUGUGGAGGGACUCGCGUCGUCUCAGCUUGGUGGUGGGUGGUUGGCUUACCAAGGCGUUGACGGGUAGCCGGCCUGAGAGGGUGACCGGCACCAUUCGGACUGAGAUACGGCACUGACUCCUCCGGGGGGCAGCAGUGGGGAAUAUUGCACAAUGGGCGGAAGCCUGAUGCAGCAACGCCGCGUGCGGGAUGACGGCCUUCGGGUUGUAAACCGCUUUCGCCUGUGACGAAGCGUGAGUGACGGUAAUGGGUAAAGAAGCACCGGCUAACUACGUG
rnacentral:rRNA from 1 species